UAUGCCCCGAGUGACGGCGCUCUCGCCAACCCCGCCAGGACCGGAAGGUAGCAACGGUAACGAGAGACCGGGUACUCGGGGCACCUUU
rnacentral:SRP_RNA from 1 species